GAAAUCAAAACGCUCCCUUCCUUCCGCGGCUUCUUCUUUCCCUGUGUCCGAAGAGGUCUGCGUUGCGACAUACGUGGUAGUGCUUGGAAGCCCAGAGCAAAAACACACACUGAGUACCUGCUCUCUGCCAGGAACUGUGUUAGGCACGAGGGAUGGGCCUUGCAGGAGACACAGAUCGAAGAUGGCGGGUUCCUGUAGUCCCAGCUACUCAGGAGGCUGAGGCAGGAGAAUGGCAUGAACCCGGGAGGCAGAGCUUGCAGUGAGCCGAGAUCGUGCCACUGCACUCCAGCCUGGGUGACAGAGCGAAACUCCGUCUC